AGAGUUUGAUCCUGGCUCAGGAUGAACGCUAGCGGGAGGCCUAACACAUGCAAGCCGAGCGGUAGAGAUCUUUCGGGAUCUUGAGAGCGGCGUACGGGUGCGGAACACGUGUGCAACCUGCCUUUAUCUGGGGGAUAGCCUUUCGAAAGGAAGAUUAAUACCCCAUAAUAUGUUGGAUGGCAUCAUUCGACAUUGAAAACUCCGGUGGAUAGAGAUGGGCACGCGCAAGAUUAGAUAGUUGGUGAGGUAACGGCUCACCAAGUCUGCGAUCUUUAGGGGGCCUGAGAGGGUGAUCCCCCACACUGGUACUGAGACACGGACCAGACUCCUACGGGAGGCAGCAGUGAGGAAUAUUGGACAAUGGGUGAGAGCCUGAUCCAGCCAUCCCGCGUGAAGGACGACGGCCCUAUGGGUUGUAAACUUCUUUUGUAUAGGGAUAAACCUACUCUCGUGAGAGUAGCUGAAGGUACUAUACGAAUAAGCACCGGCUAACUCCGUGCCAGCCGCCGCGGUAAUAC
rnacentral:rRNA from 1 species